rnacentral:rRNA from 1 species
UAGGGAAUCUUCCACAAUGGGCGCAAGCCUGAUGGAGCAACACCGCGUGAGUGAAGAAGGGUUUCGGCUCGUAAAGCUCUGUUGUAAGAGAAGAACGUGUGUGAGAGUGGAAAGUUCACACAGUGACGGUAACUUACCAGAAAGGGACGGCUAACUACGUGCCAG